CCUACGGGAGGCAGCAGUGGGGAAUAUUGGACAAUGGGCGCAAGCCUGAUCCAGCCAUGCCGCGUGAGUGAUGAAGGUCUUAGGAUUGUAAAGCUCUUUCACCGGUGAAGAUAAUGACGGUAACCGGAGAAGAAGCCCCGGCUAGCUUCGUGCCAGCAGCCGCGGUAAU
rnacentral:rRNA from 1 species